rfam:Bacillus sp. FJAT-21945 super3, whole genome shotgun sequence.
UUCUUAUCAAGAGAGGUUGAGGGACUGGCCCAAUGACACCUCGGCAACGGACUUAUUGUACCGUGCCAAAUCCAGCAAGCAUCGCUUGAGAGAUAAGAA